GACGAACGCUGGCGGCGUGCCUAAUACAUGCAAGUUGAGCGCUGAAGGUUGGUACUUGUACCGACUGGAUGAGCAGCGAACGGGUGAGUAACGCGUGGGGAAUCUGCCUUUGAGCGGGGGACAACAUUUGGAAACGAAUGCUAAUACCGCAUAAAAACUUUAAACACAAGUUUUAAGUUUGAAAGAUGCAAUUGCAUCACUCAAAGAUGAUCCCGCGUUGUAUUAGCUAGUUGGUGAGGUAAAGGCUCACCAAGGCGAUGAUACAUAGCCGACCUGAGAAGGUGAUCGGCCACAUUGGGACUGAGACACGGCCCAAACUCCUACGGGAGGCAGCAGUAGGGAAUCUUCGGCAAUGGACGAAAGUCUGACCGAGCAACGCCGCGUGAGUGAAGAAGGUUUUCGGACCGUAAAACUCUGUUGGUAGAGAAGAACGUUGGUGAGAGUGGAAAGCUCAUCAAGUGACGGUAACUACCCAGAAAGGGACGGCUAACUACGUG
rnacentral:rRNA from 1 species